AUUGAACGCUGGCGGCAUGCCUAACACAUGCAAGUCGAACGAGCGGCGGACGGGUGAGUAAUGUAUGGGAAUCUGCCCUAUAUAGGGGUAUAACUACUGGAAACGUUGGCUAAUACCGCAUACUAUCGGAUGAGCCCACGUGGGAUUAGCUAGUCGGUGGGGUAAAGGCUCACCUAGGCGACGAUCUCUAGCUGGUCUGAGAGGAUGACAAGCCACACUGGGACUGAGACACGGCCCAGACUCCUACGGGAGGCAGCAGUGGGGAAUAUUGCGCAAGGGGCGAAAGCCUGAUGCAGCAAUGCCGCGUGGAUGAAGAAGGCCUUAGGGUUGUAAAGUACUGUCAGUAGGGAGGCGGUACCUACAGAAGAAGCACCGGCUAACUCCGUGCCAGCAGCCGCGGUAAUUC
rnacentral:rRNA from 1 species